GCCCUAACCUAACCUUACCUAACCUACUAAUGAGUAUGCUUGUUUUAACAUAGGUUUCGUGAUGUCCAAGUGUAGAUCGUAGUUAUUCUCUAAUGUGCUUGUCCCUCUUUGUCAGCAAAACGUUUUAUGUAGUUUAAUUAUAAGUAAUACAAUGUAUUACUCUGGAAGGAACCACUUUAAAUACCCAGAGUGUGUCACACCAGAUGGUUGUUUAUUGAAGUAGCUGUUUCACGAAUAUUGGAACAAUGACAGGAGUUAAAAGUACAGUUUUCUCUUGCGGCAAAAAAAGAAAAAUGUCAUAAGGCCAAAUUACUAUGUACAUUCCAUGUUUGACGACAAUGUAAGCUACAUAUAUUUAGUUUUAUUAAAACCAAUCCUAAUGGAAAUGCAAAAAGUCAAGAAGUGCUUUCAAAGCAAUAACACUGACGCGACGCGCUUGCUAAAAGGUCUUGUUUUAUCCAUUAAUUCGAUAAAAAAGCACAUUAUUCCACCAGAUUGUAAUAUGGACAAAAUAAUAGAUGAUAAUUUUGAGGAAUAUGUUGUCAAAGAUUUAUAUCAAGGAUAUACAUUUGAAAAGCAAAUUGAAAUGCUUCAGAUGGAUAAUGAUUCGGAGAAAUCUAUUCGAGAGUGCUGCACUAAUUUUUAAGGUGAGCUUGUAAAGCCACAAAAGCUGAGGCUACCUAACAACCUCAAGAUUCUGCAACAAAUUGAUAUAUUUUCCGUUCACAAUAUUUUAUGUCCAAAAAAAUCCAACAUUGUUCCCAAUUUGGAAGAGUUUUCUGUUGAAGAAAUCGACAGAAUCCAGCGCCAAUACAAUGAUAUACAUCUAUUAAAAUGGGAGAACAUUGACGUUUCAAUAAAGUUUUGGGAGGAGAUGUUGUCCUUGCCGUGGUCCAACGCUGAAGUAGAACGUUCGUUUACAUUGUUUACGUUCGUAAACAUUGUAAAAUCAAAACUGAGAAAUAGAAUGGACUUUACCACUCUUAACUCAAUAUUGUGCAUAAGAUAUGGGUUGCGAAGGCACAAAAAAUGUUGCGUAGACUAUAAAGUCCCCUUAGAUUUUAUGAAGCUUAUAGGCACAAACAAGGAUAUAAAUGAUG